AGAACGAAAACUGGUCUCUAUUCCGGCGCGCGGAUAAUGUGUCUGCUAAUUUUCAUAAUUUCACCUGUUCUACAGCUAGAUGACUGUCGCGCUAGACCAGUACCGUUUGCGGCAGAUAGUCGUGUAAUACCGGCUUUACAGUAUAGCUUGCUACCUGAGUUUAUGCGGACUUUGCAAAUGUAAGCAUUGAUGGUGUUUUUCUUCAACACUGCUUUUAACAUCGUUUGGACUGUAUCUAUGUAUGCAGAGAAACGGGCUGGUGAUCAGACGCAGUACUGAGGUAUGAAAAGGGGACAGAACUGGAUAUGGUACUGAGAGAGAACCUGAUGUUGAGACAAAGGCGGAUGCUGUACCCCAGUGAUGAGCCCUUAUGUGAUCCAGGUGUAAGUGUUUGUGAUCGGUACCCAUUUACUUCAUCUGUGAAAGUAGUUGGAAACCCCCAAUUUGUUGUAAGAACAAUGUUAAAUUUAGAGAUGACCGCCACAUCGCUGUGUAAGGCGUAGGAAAGGACACCAUUCGUAGUGCCAGAGUUAUAUUUCAGUGAACUUUUAGAUGCUACUUAAGCAACGAAAUAAAUUAUUGUUUUUGGUUAAAUAUUAUGUGUAAAAUGUAAAAGUUUGAUUAGAAAAGAGGUUGUUGUUUCAAGAAGUUAUGUAAAUUUUCCCUUUUAUGAAUGUUUCGUAGAUUUAAAUUGAGAUGAAAUGUUGUACCAUUGGAGUGUGGGAGAAAAGAGUUUAAAAUUUUUUGUAUAAGAAUUUACUGUAUGCCAUCAAGCCCUAGCCAUUGUUUAGUUGAUGUAACUGUAUAUAAUGUUGUAACAUAAUCUUAGAUAUUUUGUUUAUUUGCGACACUUCAGUUCAACCUAGAUUUUAGUAAGAACAUUUUAGAUUUGACAGUGUCGGCGUAGCUAUCGAAAUCAUUCUUAAAUAGCAUUUAUGGCAGUAAGAACCGUAAAAUAUACUCAAGAGAAAUUUUGGGUUCUUAAGGGGUGUGUAACAUCACAAGUCGAUAUGCAAUAGCAUUUUAUUGCAAUAAGCUACUUUGCAGUCCGGUUCGUAGAUUUGGAGCCUUUGGUGGUGACAGAAACAGCCACUUGUACAGCGCUGUGUGCGCCGCCUUCUAGACGGGUGACCUUGAACGGGACUUAGCCACAGCACGAGGCGCCUGGCCGGAUCGCACCUGUCACUAGCCUAGCUGUGGGAAGCGGUACCUGUGUAAAUUCGAGUGACCGAAUAUUGAAGCCCCUAAGAAUCUAAAUAAACUAUAUUACAUAUUAUUUAAGUUAGUUAAAAUUGAAUAUACUGCCUUCUGUUAUUAAAAAGAAGAUUGUGUAAAAAUCUCAGCUUUCUAGCUGGCAUACUUUGAGUUAGAGAAUUACCUAAAACACCCCAUACUGACACUUGUAAGAUUAAAGUCAGUUAGGAUUCAUAACAGUUUGUCUUUUAGUAUCAUUUGGAAUCAUUACUGAAGUCCACGAAGUGUUUGGUCAGUUAGUUUGAACUUUCAUAAUUAAAAAUGUUAACUAUUUUUCAUUUUCGUAAUAUAAAAGUCAGAAAAGAUCAGCAUUUAAUGUGUUGUUGUGUGAGUAAAUGAGAAGGAGUGUGUGUGUAUGUGGGACAUAUGAAAAAAUUCAGUAUUAUGUCAUGUUAAACAUUACGUAACUAUGUCGUGGGAAAGUGUUAAGCAAGCAAGUUGCAAUGAAAAAUGUAAUUUCCCCACCGUGCUGAUGACGUAUGUCAAAGAGUAUAUUUCAUACCUGUUUAUGGAAUAGUUGGCGAGCAAUUUCUUUAUUAGAAAUCCACUGAAAAAGGACCAAAUGUGAAACUUUUAUAUUGUCGCAGAGUAAUGACUGUAAAUCGCAUAACAACUCAGGUCGGACUUGAGCACAUUCCUGGCUGCCUUGUGUGUGUAUUUGGGUUGUAUGAACUGUGAGCUGAGGACAGUGAUAUUAUUCAUUAAUUAAAUAUGGGCUGUUGGCAAGUGUUUAAUUUUGAACAUAAAGAAAUAAAAGCGCUCGUUGCAGAA